ensembl:snoRNA
GCAUGGCCGAAUUCUGUCCCAGCUGCUCUGUGCUGUGUACAGUCAGACACCAUGCAAAAGUCUCGUCUCAUUUAUGCUCAAUAACUGGAGGAGUGCUUCUCUCAGCUUCAUCCAGCUGCAUAGGAAUGAGUACACUG